UACGUAGGUGGCAAGCGUUGUCCGGAUUUACUGGGCGUAAAGGGCGCGUAGGCGGCUUCAUACGUCAGGAGUGAAAUCCCCAGGCUCAACCUGGGAACUGCAUCCGAUACUGGAUGGCUUGAAUUCGGGAGAGGGAUGCAGAAUUCCAGGUGUAGCGGUGAAAUGCGUAGAUAUCUGGAGGAAUACCGGUGGCGAAGGCGGCAUCCUGGGCCGACAUUGACGCUGAGGAGCGAAAGCCAGGGGAGCGAACGGG
rnacentral:rRNA from 1 species